UUACUAGUUAGAUAGGUGUGU
rnacentral:piRNA from 1 species